GACGAACGCUGGCGGCGUGCCUAAUACAUGCAAGUCGAACGCAGUGGGGACGGGUGAGUAACACGUGGGUAACCUCCCAUCAGAGGGGAUAACACUUGGAAACAGGUGCUAAACCGAUACUGAUGGAUGGACCCGCGGUUCAUUAGCUAGUUGGUGAGGUAACGGCUCACCAAGGCCGCGAUGCAUAGACGACAUUGGGGGAUGAUCGGCCACACUGUUACUGAGACACGGCCCCGACUCCAACGGGAGGCAGCAGUAGGGAAUCUUCGGCAAUGGACGAAAGUCUGACCGAGCAACGCCACGUGAGUGGAGAAGGUUUUCGGAUCAUAAAACUCUGUUGUUAGAGAAGCGAUAUCUAACCAGAAAGCCACGGCUAACUACGUGCCAGCCGGCGCGGUAAUAC
rnacentral:rRNA from 1 species